AUUGAACGCUGGCGGCAGGCCUAACACAUGCAAGUCGAACGGUAACAGGAAGCAGCUUGCUGCUUCGCUGACGAGUGGCGGACGGGUGAGUAAUGUCUGGGAAACUGCCUGAUGGAGGGGGAUAACUACUGGAAACGGUAGCUAAUACCGCAUAACGUCGCAAGACCAAAGAGGGGGACCUUAGGGCCUCUUGCCAUCGGAUGUGCCCAGAUGGGAUUAGCUAGUAGGUGGGGUAACGGCUCACCUGGGCGACGAUCCCUAGCUGGUCUGAGAGGAUGACCAGCCACACUGGAACUGAGACACGGUCCAGACUCCUACGGGAGGCAGCAGUGGGGAAUAUUGCACAAUGGGCGCAAGCCUGAUGCAGCCAUGCCGCGUGUAUGAAGAAGGCCUUCGGGUUGUAAAGUACUUUCAGCGGGGAGGAAGGGAGUAAAGUUAAUACCUUUGCUCAUUGACGUUACCCGCAGAAGAAGCACCGGCUAACUCCGUG
rnacentral:rRNA from 1 species